rnacentral:rRNA from 1 species
GCCAGACUCCUACGGGAGGCAGCAGUGGGGAAUAUUGGGCAAUGGGCGCAAGCCUGACCCAGCAACGCCGCGUGAAGGAAGAAGGCUUUCGGGUUGUAAACUUCUUUUAAGGGGGAAGAGCAGAAGACGGUACCCCUUGAAUAAGCCACGGCUAACUACGUGCCAGCAGCCGCGGUAAUACGUAGGUGGCAAGCGUUGUCCGGAUUUACUGGGUGUAAAGGGCGUGCAGCCGGGAAGACAAGUCAGAUGUGAAAUCCCGCGGCUCAACCGCGGAACUGCAUUUGAAACUGUUUUUCUUGAGUAUCGGAGAGGUAAUCGGAAUUCCUAGUGUAGCGGUGAAAUGCGUAGAUAUUAGGAAGAACACCAGUGGCGAAGGCGGAUUACUGGACGACAACUGACGGUGAGGCGCGAAAGCGUGGGGAGCAAACAGGAUUAGAUACCCCAGUACG